GCCAUGAGAAAGUGGACAGUCGGGAUGCCGAGGACAACACCCUGGAGACUAUACAUUCGUAGGCUAUGCAACUGCAGCCUAACGUUAUGUGUUGCCGUUCCAACACUGCUGAUAAAGCCUGCUGCUCCUGAGACCAGCAUUCAGUGACGCAGACCAAUCCGAGUCACCUUCAGCCUCACCAUCCAACCCACAACGUUUCUGGAGUCUACCAGCAUAGAGCACCUUCAAUGUGAAUCCUUUUCCAGACAUGCAAGGUAUCAAUGAUAACCUGCUCAAGCAAGCAGAACAGGAUCAGGAUACCUCGCAUGCAUCACCAAGGCGGUCAAAUGCUUUGAACGUUGUGCCAAUGCAGCAGAGAGGCAUGCAAAUGCUUCUGAGAGGAUGUCUGGGUCCAGGUCAUUUGGUUCUGCUAGCUCCACGCCGGAGCCUUAUUUGGUCUUCCUGCCCCAACGAGGCGCGGCCGGUCGCUCGUUAAACCAGGGAGUGCUUGGGGAUAAAGGAGGAGGCAGCCUGCACAAAGGGGCAGAGUAAGGAGAGAACAAAGUGAUAUAUGAAGAGAACAAAGUGAUAUAUGAAGAGAACAAUAGCUGUGUGAUUACCUGUUGUGACCUGGACUCUCAGGCUAUCCCCCUUGUGUACCGGACCGGAUUGGCUGAGGACCCGAGUGUGAGGAUUACCCCUGGAAAACGGAACGGACAACGAGAACGGCUUGUGGACUGUGAGGUGAUUGGUGAAUUUCCCCUUCUUCCUCUGUGUACCAGAAUCCCUAAUAAACUCCCCAUCUGCCUUCUA